UUAUAAUAAUUAAAAAUUAAACUAUGAGUCUGUUAAUAGAUUUAGUAGCUUUAUUACAGCAAAGUAGAGAUAGUAAAGAGAGGGAAAUGUAGAAAGGAGAUAGGGAAUUUUAUAGCCUACUACUCUAAGUCUGCUACAAAUAAAUCUAGCUUGCUCCCCCAACAUGGUUCCAAUCACAGGCCAGAAGAGUGGGAGAGUCUUGAUCUCCAGGAUCCAAUCUUCAGAAGGAAAUCCACAAAUGUCUCUUCAAACCAAAAAACUACAUCCACAAGUACAAGAACCAUUAUAAUUUUGAACCAAUAUCAGUGAUGUGUGAAAAUCUGUGGAAGACUGAAAAGGAAUCAUGGUACUGAAGAAAGACAAAUGCCCUAGUAUUCAAAAAUGGAAAAGAAAAAAAAUUGUCAUAUUGUAAGCCAGUAAACAUGGCAUUAAUUCCUGAGAAAAUUCUAUAAGAGUGUUUUAGAUGGCUGUUUAAUAUGUAUAGAGGAGAUGAUGAUUUAAUAUACUUGUCUUCAUCAAGGACAGAUCAUGCCAGACUAAUCUAAUGGACUUUUUUGAGAGGAUUGCUUAAAUGACAGGUUUCCUACCCUUCACUGCCUUCCACAUAUUCUACCACAGUAGUGUCCAAAUCAAGGAGGAAAUGGUGCCAUACAUAAGUUCCUACUGGACAAAUACUGACAAACUGCUUGAGACAUCAAAUGCUUCCUUUUGUACUUUUUCUUUAGUUCUGUGGAAAAUGGAAUCUGUUGGAUGGAGUGAGUAUUGUUCCUUAGUCUCUAUGAAGUACCCCUUCUUAUUCCUAGGACAAUGACAGUUUGGGUUACUUGGAAGAUUUCUAAGCUUAAGUAAUUUUGGAUCUACAUCCCUAAUAUU
rnacentral:lncRNA from 1 species